CGCCCACCGCGCGGAGGACAACUUUUAGCCGGCAGCCCAGACCAGCGCGGCACCUGUCUCCGGAGUCUCCACCGCUCCUCCCGAUUCAUCCCAGGGAAAUUCUCAAGAAUACGCUCUACAAAUCUACGUGCGCAUCAUUUUCACCUCGCGUCGCGCCCGGGAGGAAGGAACGAGGCAAGGAGCUAAAGCAGCGUGCGUUCAGCCCUGGGGCAUUUUAUUAAUGCUUUUACGAGUUAGAAGAGUUGGGAUAAUUUGCCAUCUGGAGUUUCUCUGCCUUGCUGAUCUGAGCUCAGACCUGCCAAUUUACCAGAGAUAAUUGAUAACACCCUGUAACAGCUGAGAGGAAAAUGGAAGAAACGGAGAUACUUUUAGUGAAGCAGAAUAAACCACUGAACAGAUGGAGUCUCACUCUGUUGCCCAGACUGGAAUGCAGUGGUGUGAUCUCAACUGACUGCAACCUCCGUAUCCUGGGUUCAAGCAACUCUCCUGCUGCAGCCACGAAAAAUGAGGAAGCUGUGAGUACCAGUGGAAGGAACGAGCCAGGAAGAGGGACUGGAACCAUCUCAGAAGCCAUGCCCCUCAGGCUGGAACUUGCCCUGUCUCCUCGCAGAUGAGCUACCUCUUGUGUUUAAGAAUUAAAGGAAGAUGAGCUAGGAAUCAAGAAAUACGCAGAACUGAUUCCUGUCACUGGCGCCACCCUGCCACUUGCCCAGAGCUGUGGUAUAAAUUUUUUUAAUAGGCUGAAAUAAAAAUAUGAAUAGCAUUUUGGUAUUAAGCAUUAAAUUGAUAAAGGCUAUGAGAUACACCUGCUCUCAACCAUGUUAAUUUUUUAUUAUUGGUAUUAAUAAAUUAUUACUUACUAACAUAUUAACAAGAAUUGCAUUGAGAAACAAAGCAUCCACAGGCCAAAUCUUCUGAAUUUCAAAUGUUUAUAUUAAUGCGUUGUAUUCUAGAAAAGUAGAAUUGUCUUAAGUAGCUUUGUAAUAUAAAGUCAUCUAUCAGCCCAUUACACCUAUUAGAAUGUUUUAACCUUUAUUUCCCACUUUUUUGUUUCUAGACUGAGUGUACUUGGUCUGGUAUUUGUGGCAUAACUUACGGAACACAUAAGAAUGAUACAGAUACUAUUUAAUGAUGACCUAAUACAAGCUUAGAUAGCUAAGGUGAAAGCUUCUAUGGCCUUAACAUUUUCCUCUUGAAGAAUGUAUUUUCUGUAAUAAAAUACAGUGGCUACUUGAAAUCUAUAAACUUAUGUGAGGUCUGGAUAAAUCUGAGCAACUUUCUUCUUUGUGCUCCAGGAACCUACGCACUAUAUAUAUAAAUAAAGCUUAAGUAAACAUCAC
rnacentral:lncRNA from 1 species